UUUUUUUUAAUUUAGACACAGGGUCUCAAUGAGUUGAUUAGUGUCGUGCCAUUGCUGAGGCUGGCUUUGAACUCCCAAUCCUCCUCCUCAGCCUCCCAAACCACUGGGAUUAUAGGCAUGUGCAGCACCACGCCCUGCUUAUCUCAGGUAUUUUAACACAGUGACAGCCGACCAACAGCCAGGAGUGGUGCACACCUGUAAUCCCAGUGAUUUAGCCAGCUAAGGCAGGAAGAUCACAAGUUCAGAGCCAGCCUGGGCAACUUAGCAAGACCCUGUAUCAGAAAACAAAAGGGACUUAGAGUGGUGAGCAGUGGUAAAACACCCCUGGGUUCAAUCCCCAAUACCAGUGGGGGGUGGGGGGGAAGCUAACCAGUUUUGUGUUUCUUUUUCAAAUAUUUAUUGAGCAAUUACUGUGUGCCAUAGAUGAUUCUAGAGGGCCAUCGGGGAUCAGAAGAAUUUGAACUUUUAUAUAAAAUCUUCAGUGGCCUUCAAGUGCCUACAUUGAAGGAUCACCUAUUCUAAAGCAGUGGUUCUGGAUCUGGGGUGGCUUUGACCUCCAGGGGACAUUUGGCAAUCCUUAGAGACAUUUUUAGUUGUUCAAACUGGGGUGAGCCUGUUCAGGUAUGUAGAGACCAGGGAUGCUUUUCAACUUCCUACAAAGCACAGAAUGGUCCCCUAAACAAGAUCAUCCCACUCCAAAAUGUCAAUAGUACUGAGAUGGAGAAACCUUGCUUUAAAGGAUUGCUUCACGAUUGUAAGAAGGGUAGAUUGCCAGGCACAGUGUGGUGGAGUCCUAAAGCUAUUACUAAUCAAGGUGAAAAGUAAGGCUUGGAACAGUGCAGCAAGACGGGGAGGGAAGGAAGAUAAGAUCUUGAGUUGGAAUUGCAGCACUUCCCAGUUGACAAAGCACCUGGAGAGAAGGGUUGUAGAACUCUGCCUUGGCUAACAUUAGAUGUUCUCCUGUGGCUCCCAUUUGGUUGGGAGAUGAAUAUACAGUUUUGGACACUAUAUGAGUCUGCAAAGGCUGCCUCACAGGUUACUACAAACUAGGCAGUUUAAACAACCAAAAUGUUUUUCCUACUAUUCUGGAAGCUCCAGGUCCAACUGAAGGUGCUGGCAGGAUUGGUUUCUUCUGAGGCUGCUGCAUGGCUUGGCUCUUACAUGGCUGCCUUCUCCCUAUGUCAGACUCUGGGCUUGUCUAUGUUCUAGUUUUCUCUUAAAAGGACACCAGUCAUGGACCUACCUACCCAUCCAUAUGACCUCAUUUUAGCUUACUUAGCACUUUAAAGGCACUGUUUCCAAAUGCAGUCAUAUGAGGUGUACUAGGGAUUAGGGAUUCAACAUAUGUAUUUGAGGGAGAGGAGAGAAAGAAACUAUUCGCCACUCAGCCCAUAACAGUUAUAUUGGGAUUGAGGUGACUGGGGACUGGACCGUAGCGCAAUGAGUACACAAAGGUGCUACUUUGGAACCUAGGAAGUCAGGACUUGCAGGGCUGGGGUUGGAGUUCAGUGGUAGAGCACUUGCCUAGCAUGUGUAAGGAACUGGGCUGGAUCCUCAGCACUGCAUAAAAAUAAAGAUGUCCAUCUACAACUGAAAAAAAAAGGGUCAGGACUUGCAUCACUGGUGUGGAUUGGGGUAGCUAGAUCUGAGGGUCAAGAGGUCACCUGUGGAGCUGGGCGUGGUAGCACACACCUGUAAUCCCAGCAGCUCAGGAGGCGGAGGCCAGGAGGAUUGAGAGUUCAAAGCUAGCCUCAGCAACAGGAGGCACUAAGCAACUCAAUGAGACCAUCUACAGUCAUUAAUCUCUCAAUAAAAUAGGGCUGAAGAUGUGUCUCAGUGGCUAAGUGCCCCUGAGUUCAAUCCUCUGUACAAAAAAAAAAAAAGGUCACCUGUGGAGAAUACAAAAGAGCAGAGGAGGCCUCUAAAAGUGCGGCCGUCUCAGGGUGUAGAGAAUCCAAGAGAUGAGACGACCUGUCUUCACUCUUGAUACUAAUAUCAAAUGCAGCAGCAGUCGGCAGGGGGGCACUUGUACAAAUGUUUCUAGGUGGGAUAGUGGGAUUCCUGGUUUCCUUUUUGUGCGUCAGAAUUCAUCAUUUAUUUUAGAAAGGAGACACUAUUCACAACUUUCAGUUUUUCUCCAGAGGAAAGAAGCAUCUGAGAACCCUCCAGGCCUUAGUGGCAGUUCUGUCAGGCAGCAUGCCUUCCCCCAUCCCCUUCUGAGCCCUUGAGUCCCCGGCAUGGCCCCUUCCAAGGAGGCCCCGGCACAUGGGGCAUGAAAUCAACUUGCAGUCUGAGUCUCAGCGUAUGAAGGAGCCAGUUAGGAAGCAGAAGCUGAACAAAUCACAGUAUAAUAUAGCAACGAUGAGGAGCUGGGGGCACACACCUAUAAUCCCAGUGGCUUGGGAAGCUCAAGCAGGAGGAUCGUGAGUAAGCAAAGCCAGCCUCAGCAACUUAGGGAGGCCCUGAGCAACUCAGUGAGACCCUGUCUGUAAAUAAAAUACAAAAAAAGGCUGGGAAUGUGGCUCAGUGGUUAAGUGCCCCUGGGUUCAAUCCCUAAUACCCAAAAGGGGGGAAAAAAUGACAAUGAUGAACUUCAGUGUGGGUAAAGCCCAGAAACUGAUGGUGUUAAGGACCUGGGAUCCCGAAGACUGAAGAGUUGGCCACACAGACCAGGAACAAACAGGGCAGAGAACAAACAGGAUGCUAUGUCAGAACUAGGACUAGCUCCCCGAUGCUGGGACUUAAGGCAUAAGACAGCAAUGGGAAACAGGUGGGAAUGUCGUGGGGACCAUGGGGCAGACAUCUCCUGACCCCAGCAGUCUCAGGCUAACAGUGGGAAGAAAGGGCUUCCUAGCACAUGAGCCUUUGAGGACAGCGUGUGUAUUUUGCUCACACAGCCUAUGGUGGUGGCCCACCAGAGUAUGCUGAGGUACUGAACCAGGAAGAUAGAAGCUGGCGUGCCAAUUUAUGGUCUCAGAUGGUGACCACCCAAAACCAAAAUGUCUGAUAAUUGAAGUCAAAGGGAUAGUAAUAAGUAAAAGAUGCCCUGUGUGCCUGGCCUCUUACUCAGAAGACUGGCUCAUUCCUGUUGUCCAGGGAGGGAGGGAAUAAAGUUAGAAACCAAACUGGUGAGAGUUCUGGGCCUCUGCCUCAAGUGGACAUGGUUUCUGUGCCACUUUCUGGCGCACUGACUGCCCUGAGGAGGGCUGUUGAAGCUGGCUCAACCAUGGACUUGAACAGCUGCUCUAAAGGACAUGGCAGUCCUCAGUCCUGGGGAAGAAAAAGGUGCAGCAGAGUUCCCUCAGCAGGGGAGAAGAGAUGACCUACCCCUCUCGCUGAGGAGAGGUGGAAACCUGGACUCAAUCUCCAAUUGAAAAUACCCCCACGUGCCUGUGCUCUAGAAUACAGCACCUAGGGAGCUAGGAAAAAAGUGAAGGACUGGGGGCUGGGGAUGUAGCUCAGUUGGUGGAGUGCUUAGCUCACAUGCACAAGGUUCUGGGUCCAAUCCCCAGCACCAUAAAAAUAAAUAAAUAUGUGCUUAUGAUUUGUUUAAAAAAAAGGAAGGACUGAAGGGUGGGGGUGUCAACUGCAGGUAUUCCCCCACACCUACCCCUUCUUGCUGAUCAUCUGAAGUCAUUUUUUUCCCCCAUCAAGUCUGGGCAGGCUUCUUAGAGGGGUUGUGGCUGCUGCCUCUGGGAGGGGCUGCUUCCAGGCUGUCAGAAGGCAGUGGGCAAAUCCCAUAAAGCACUUCACACAGCAGCAUCUGAAGGGGAGGCAGCAGGCAUCUGCCUGGGAGGCGCAUUUGGUUUUUCCCCAGGGAUAGUUCCCAUCCCUGAUGCCUGGGCCCCUUGGAGUAGACUUUACUAGUCCCAAGCACAAGCCAUGUCUAAUGGCUGUGUUAUGAAGGCUCCGCAGAGGUGUGAGAGAUCCAUUUUGCUGCCCUUUAAUCGCACAGAGUAGCACAGCUAGUGAUUAGAAGCACAGAUUCAGAAGCCAGAAUACCUAGAUUUGAACCCCAGAUUUGCCACUUAAUAACUGCAUGGCCUUGACCAGGUUACUUGGGCCUUGGUUUCCUGAUCUAUGAUAACAUUAGGCUCUUAGAAUGACAGUACAUGCCUUAGAGUUGUGAGGAACUACUCUAUGAUGCUUACAAUACCACCCAGGACAGAGUAAGUACUGAUUAGUGUUAGCCAUGAUCAAUCUGAUUGCAAUCAUAACCCACCCCAAAGGAGGAAAGGGGAGCGGCCCUCUGUUUAAGCACUUUCACUUCCAUCCUCAUAUAAUAAUCCUCUGUUCCUAUUCUAAGUAAUCACUUCUUUCUGCUUCCCCGAAGCUCUUCAUUUCCCCCAAGAUUAAGCUCUUUUGAAGACACUCAUUCUCCAACGGUUAAUUAUUACAAUUUUCCCCUUAGCUAAGGCCUCUCCCUACUUGCCUGUCUCCCCUUACCCCACACGAGGUUGCAGUGUUCUGGAGCCCACACAAUCGGCUCUGUGCCUCCGAGUUCUGGCUGCAGGCCCACCUCCACAAAGCGCCCCCCUGCCCCUUCCUCUGCUUGCUCCAGAGCCUCAGCUUCCCACCCAUGCGCUCAAGCUUUAGGUGGGUCAGAGGGUGCCAUUCAUUAUAUACAAGCACAACUGUGACCUCAUUCCCAGCCACUCAGCCAACAGUGAGACCCAAAUAUUUUAUCUGAAUGAUAGGCAGGCCUUGGGCCUGACGAAAGGGCUUUCAGCAGGAGGAACUGAACCUUAAUUACAAAGGGCCAGGCUUGGUACAGUUAUCUCUUGCUAUGUGACAAGCUACCCCCAAACUUAGUGGCUGCAACAGCCAUUAUUCACUCAUGUUUCUGAAAUUUGGAUAGGGUUUGGUGGUAGUGGGUCACCCUCUUGGUGUGGGAUUGACUGGGGCAAAAAUUCUUGCCCCUCCCCCUGCCCCCAAUCAUAUUGAAGUCCUAACCCCCAUUACCUCAGAAUGGACCCUUCCUUGGAAAUAAGGUCAUUGCCCAUGUUAAGAUAAGGUCCUACUUGGGCAGGGUGGGCCCCUAAAAAAAAAGGGAAAAUUGUACAUCCACAUGCACCUGGGAGAAUGCCAGGUGAAGGUAGGAGUUAUGCUCCCAGCUGACAGGUGCCAGAAAAGGGGCUUUCAGAGGAAACAUGGGCCUUGACCUAGACUCCUGGCCUUCAGAA
rnacentral:lncRNA from 1 species